CCUACGGGAGGCAGCAGUGAGGAAUAUUGGUCAAUGGGCGAGAGCCUGAACCAGCCAAGUCGCGUGAGGGAGUACUGCCCCAUGGGUUGUAAACCUCUUUUGUCGGGGAGCAAAAGCCGGACGUGUCCGGCUGUGAGAGUACCCGAAGAAAAAGCAUCGGCUAACUCCGUGCCAGCAGCCGCGGUAAUACGGAGGAUGCGAGCGUUAUCCGGUUUUAUGGGGUUAAAGGGGUGCGCAGGCGGAUUUUUAAGUCAGCGGUCAAAUCGUGGGGCUCAACCCCAUCCCGCCGUUGAAACUGGGGAUCUAGAGUGUGCGAGAGGUAUGCGGAAUGCGUGGUGUAGCGGUGAAAUGCAUAGAUAUCACGCAGAACCCCGAUUGCGAAGGCAGCAUACCGGUGCACAACUGACGCUCAGGCACGAAAGCGUGGGUAUCGAACAGGAUUAGAUACCCGGGUAGUC
rnacentral:rRNA from 1 species